rnacentral:rRNA from 1 species
UAGGGAAUCUUCCACAAUGGACGCAAGUCUGAUGGAGCAACGCCGCGUGAGUGAAGAAGGUCUUCGGAUCGUAAAGCUCUGUUGUUGGUGAAGAAGGAUAGAGGCAGUAACUGGUCUUUAUUUGACGGUAAUCAACCAGAAAGUCACGGCUAACUACGUGCCAGCAGCCGCGGUAAUACGUAGGUGGCAAGCGUUGUCCGGAUUUAUUGGGCGUAAAGCGAGCGCAGGCGGAAUGAUAAGUCUGAUGUGAAAGCCCACGGCUCAACCGUGGAACUGCAUCGGAAACUGUCAUUCUUGAGUGCAGAAGAGGAGAGUGGAACUCCAUGUGUAGCGGUGGAAUGCGUAGAUAUAUGGAAGAACACCAGUGGCGAAGGCGGCUCUCUGGUCUGCAACUGACGCUGAGGCUCGAAAGCAUGGGUAGCGAACAGGAUUAGAUACCCUGGUAGUCCAUGCCGUAAACGAUGAGCGCUAGGUGUUGGGGACUUUCCGGUCCUCAGUGCCGCAGCAAACGCAUUAAGCGCUCCG